CCCCAACAAGGCCUGCCACCGCCUGGUAUUUUACACCUCCACCAAUGACAGAGGCAAGCACAGUAGGAUCGACUAUGAAGAUGGGUUUGACAUCGACCACCCAGACCUACUGCGCACACCAAUGCACACAUCGCCCGUCUACAAUGAACAAUCCAAAGAGGCAAUACAAUCAGCCAUACAAGCAGCACGUCCUGAUACUCCGUACCAGCAAGACCAACGCAGUCGGAGUAAAAUGAAGGCAAAAAGACCGACAGACUCCAGUAUAUAGAAUAGGUUGCUACAGUCCGCGAUAUCCAGACAGGAUAGUCGGACUCUAAACACUCAUACAUC
rnacentral:lncRNA from 1 species